rnacentral:rRNA from 1 species
AGAGGGUGCGAGCGUUAAUCGGAUUUACUGGGCGUAAAGCGCGCGUAGGUGGUUAAUUAAGUCAAAUGUGAAAUCCCCGAGCUUAACUUGGGAAUUGCAUUCGAUACUGGUUAGCUAGAGUAUGGGAGAGGAUGGUAGAAUUCCAGGUGUAGCGGUGAAAUGCGUAGAGAUCUGGAGGAAUACCGAUGGCGAAGGCAGCCAUCUGGCCUAAUACUGACACUGAGGUGCGAAAGCAUGGGGAGCAAAC